rnacentral:misc_RNA from 1 species
UUUCCGUAGGUGAACCUGCGGAAGGAUCAUUAUUGUAUAACCGAGGUGCGAGGGCUGUCGCUGACCCGAAAGGUCGUGCACGCCCGAGUGCCCUCACACAUCCAUCUCACCCCUAUGUGCACCACCGCGUGGGUCCCCCUUUGGCUUGUUCGGAGGGGGGCUUACGUUUUCACACAAACUUUGUAUGCAGUGUAGAAUGUAUUUUUUGUUUUUGCGAUCACGCAAUCAAUAUAACUUUCAACAACGGAUCUCUUGGCUCUC